UACCACAGACUCUUAAAUUACUACAGAAGAGAUACCCAUUGUCUGGACAGCUGGGACUGGACUGAUGAUUCCGCUCCACAGCCAGUCAGUCAGUCGCUCACCAGCUCUCAGAUUCCUCGCAGGAGAACUUCUGGCACUCUCCACUGCUGCUUCUGGAAAUAAGAAUUGUUGGUGCUGUCAGUUCAGUGCCUCACUCUGCUCCUUUCCUAACCUUGCCACCAGCUGCUGGUGCCUGAAGUGGCAAAGUCAGCAGACGGACAGUUCAGUGGUACAAGUUGCAGAGACUGCAAAGGAACUCACCUUGGCGCAGGUGUUGCAAAAGUUGCAGUGGCAAGUAAGUAGGUGUUAAACGCUCCAAGGAAAUGGCAGAGCACAUCUGGCAGCACCCAGAAGAUCAGAAGAAAAAAACAAGCAAACAGACGUAUUGAAAAUUAAUAAAGACUCCAGCACUGCACCAGAUGCAAUGGUACGGUAACUACAUCGCAAAAUAGAUUGCACUAUGCUAACUAGAACACAUAAAAUAGAUUCAUGCUUUCACAAACUGUGACCUGAUACCUUUAAUUUUCAGGUUGGGCUUGAUUUCUGAUUAUUUUUGUCACAACAUUUUUCAAGGAUUUUGUGUUAUGAUUGCAUGUGAUUUGCUAAAAAUAACGGAUCAGUGAAAAGAUGCUGAACUUACUGUGCUUCUCUUUCCAUUCAUUUAUUAUAUUUUUAAGUCUUUCAUUGAGGGGAAAAAAAAAAAAAAGAAGGUCUAUUCACACUAGAAAGGCUACCUACCAGUUCAGUGAGAAGAAGGCAAGCAAAGAGUUAUUCUACACCCUGCUAACACAUUCACAGAAAACUCAUCCAAUUUUGUUAAGACCUUUUGUGGAGAAUCAAAAGUUAGUGAAGAUUGUAUUGUAAUUCCUGACCUGAAAGUCACUCAGCUGGAUUCAAGUAGGCCAGAAAUGUGUGCUUUACAGAAACACCUUGUGGAUUUUUAUUUUUUUUAAGCUAUGAAAGUUUUUACUGCUGACCCUGCCCUGUGUACCGACAGCUGAGUCGCUAGUAGGAACUCAUGACAGAAGACAAUUGAUCGCAACUGUCAGAUAGUCAGCAGAAGGAAAGAACCACCUUGUUUCAUCAGUUUUAGCCUCCACGUUUCCCUUGUAACGGGGCAAAAGUUACAUGCUGCUCAUUGGAUCUGAAAGAUCUAGUUUUGUGAGGGGCAGUCAAGACUUAAAUACACUGGAGGGAAAUAAUUGGCUGCUUGAUCCAACAGCACCUUUUGAAGUCAAUGUAAAAUUGUUCAUUAGCAUCAAUGAGAUUCAGAUUAGAUCCUUAUUUCACAGUCAGCGGUAUUAUGGCAUAAUUGGCUGGUCAGCAGAGGUUGAAACUGGAAAAAGUGCAGAGUCUGGAACAACAUAUCAGGCUGGAGCUGGGGAAUGCACAGGGAAAGCUGUAUUUCUUUCAAGUGCUUCAGCAAUGGAACUGUGCUGAGAAACGGGAAAGUUGUAUUUCUUUCAAGUGCUUCAGCAAUGGAACUGUGCUGAGAAACCUUCAUGUAUUU